rnacentral:rRNA from 1 species
GACGAACGCUGGCGGCGUGCUUAACACAUGCAAGUCGAACGGAAACACCUCAUUCGGUGGGUACUAGAGUUGCGAACGGGUGAGUAACACGUGAGUACACUGCCCUUGACUUUGGGAUAACUUCAGGAAACGGGGGCUAAUACCGGAUAGGAGCUCCUGCUUCAUGGUGGGGGCAGGAAAGCUUCGGCGGUUGGGGAUGGGUUCGCGGCUUAUCAGCUUGUUGGUGGGGGAGUGGCUUACCAGGGCUUUGACGGGUAGCCGGCCACUGAGGGUGACAGGCGACACAGGGACUGAGGGGCGGCCCCGGCUCCGAAUAUUGGCAGCUGGGGGGAAGAUUGAACCAGGGGUGCAGGCCUGAUGCAGAAGCGCUGUGUGCUGGAUAGCGGCUUUCGUGUUGAAGACCGGCUGCGCUCAAGACGAAGCUUGGUGUGACGGUAGUGAGUGAAGAAGCACCGGCUAACUACGUG